rnacentral:misc_RNA from 1 species
GUAUACCAAGGUAAAUGCAAAAACUCGGAUACCUGUUCAUGUUAAAGAGAUGCACAUAAUAUUUAUCCAGACAAGAUUUGGAAUCCUUUUUUGUUAUACUCAGUAUCUCACGAAAAUAUCAUAUAAUUCAUGAAACUUGUUUUAUGAAUUUGGAAGUAAAUAAGUUUCAAAUGAAUGAUAAUCAUCAUGAUUAUAGUAAACAAUAACAACCAAUACAACAAUAGCAAUAAUAAUAAUGGUAAAGUUAGUGUCAGAGGUGUCGAGUGUCUAGCUGUCAAUUAAUGACGUUUUCUUACUGCAAGCGGUUAUUUUAGUUCAUUUUUAUGCAACAGCAAGUUUCGAAAAUUUUUUUUUUUCGAUUUUAAAUGAGCUCUUUUGUAUACAUAAAACAACUGAAUUAUUGAUAGAGUAAGUUUAUACAUUAUAAUUAUAAUAGCGAUAUUUUAAAUCACUGUUAAUACUUUAUUAACGAUAAAGAAUUUCCAAAUUUAAGUAAAAAAAUGAAAUAAUACGAGUUGAGUUCUUUAGUGAUUUGUGGCUAUAAAUUUUAUGUUAGUGAACUGACGGAAAUUAUCUUGAUUAUCAUAAUCAUUUAUUUUUGAUCUACAACUAAGAAUGGCCGACAAAAAUGCUGAACGAGAAGCUCUUCGGGGAGUUAUUCAGCAAUGGAAUGCUAAUAGAUUGGAUCUCUUUGAAUUAUCCGAACCAAACGAGGAUUUGGAAUUUCACGGCGUCAUGCGUUUUUACUUUCAAGAUAGCGGUCAGAAAGUUGCUACAAAAUGUAUCAGGGUCGCGUCUGAUGCCACGAGCCAAGCAGUGAUUGAAACUCUUAUUGAGAAGUUCCGUCCAGAUAUGCGGAUGCUUAGUGUCCCAGAGUAUGCACUCUAUGAAAUUCAUGAAAAUGGAGAAGAACGAAAACUUGGACUUGAAGAAAAACCUUUACUGGUUCAGUUGAACUGGCAUAUCGAUGAUCGAGAAGGUCGGUUUUUACUUCGACGGAUCGAUGACAAAACUAAUACAGCUGGAGUAGGUUUUGAAGAAGUUACAAGCUUCCGUAGGAAGUUAAGUAGACGAGAACGAAAACAACUAAAAAAACAAGAAAAACUUUGUCGUUUUAAGACUCCUGAACAGGGUCAUGAUUCACCUUUGAUCGAUAAAAAUGGUGUCGCUGAGAAGCUUUAUGUUGAAUUGCCGGAAACAAGUUUUACCAGAAGCAUUUCAAAUCCAGAAGCUGUGAUGCGUCGUCGUCGUCAACAGAAGUUAGAGAAAAAAUUGCAACAAUUUCAGAGCAAAGAUGGUGGUCCAGAUACAGGUGGUACCUUAAAAAUUUACGGGGAAGCUCUGUGUAAAGAUGUUCCAUAUAAAACGUUGUUAUUAAGCAUAAGAGAUUCUGCUGCUCAAAUUGUAAGAGAAAUGUUAUCUAAAUAUGGUCUUGACAAAGUGGAUGCUCAGCAAUAUUGUUUAGUACAGGUAACAACAGAAAAAAAUAACGGAAACGCACAUCAAGAAUAUAUUUUAGAUGAUGAUGAGUGUCCAUUGGCUAUCAUUAUGAAUAUAUCAUCAGUUUACGGUUCAAUAAUGUUUCACGUCAGAAGACGACCAGCAGAUUAUGUACCAAGAAAGAGAAAAAAGAAACCAAGUGGUAAAUGGGGUGAAAUGGAUAACAAGUACGAAGAUGAGAGAUUACCAUUUCUGUUAGAACUUAAUGCUGAUGGAUCGGAAGUACCGAAUGGUGCAGGAAUAAGACAUCGUUUACUACCAAACGUUACAGAAGUGGGAUCUGAAGUAUCUUCAAGCAACCAAGCUGGUCAUGCCCAAACUUUGACUCUCACUGGCUCCACAGUUAUGCCUCGUCAUUGUGUUAUCGCUUUUACUGAGAAUAUUGUUACUCUUACGCCUGCUUCGAGAGAUGCUCAUACUUAUGUAAAUAAUCAAAGAAUUCACCAGACUACAAUUCUUCAGAAUGGAGCCAUCAUCAAAUUCGGUCGACUACAUACGUUUAGAUUUAUUGAUCCUGCUCCUGAAGAUCGAAUCAGGCAGUACCACGAUUCAAAUAAACAAGCGGAGCACAAUCGUGAUAGCAGAUCAGGAGCCAGUUCUCCAAACGAUGGUCAAUGUUCUUCACCCAGUCCAGUAAAAUCGCAUGUCGCAAAUCUUAGUUCAAAAAAUACUGCACAUAGUUCUGUCAUUACGGAAGGCACACAUAAUUAUGAGACUACCUUCGAUUUAGAUGGAAAUGUUGAAACUGCAAGUCUUACAAGUAGCAGAGAUAGUAAUAGACUUUCGCAACAUUACGAUCGUCAACUUAGAGGUAUAGAUCCGAUCUUACCUGCAGUAUUAGAGUUUCUCGAAGAAACAGAAGAAACAUUCUUGCACGCAGUUAUUACUGAUGUUGAACCAUCAUCUUUACAAUUUAAACUUGCGCCAACAUAUACUCUAUAUCUUGCUACGAGAUACAGAGCAAGCACACAUUAUAGAUCUGAAUUACAACCAACAGAAAGAGCUCAUAGAUUAACUGUUAUGUUAGGAAAUGUUGCUACCAUGAUACAACGUAUAAUACAAGAUCGUUAUAUGGAUGCGCCUUCUUUAGCUCUAUGGCUUUCAAAUGGAUCAGAGUUUCUUCAUUUUCUAAAAAGUGAUCGUCAUAUAGGAGCUUUUUCAACUCGAGCUCAAGAUAUUUUAGUCGAUGCCGUUCAAAUGGCUUUCGGAUCACUUAUAAAUUGCGUAUCACUAGAACUAACACCAGCAAUGUCUCAAUUUAUGGCAGAUACGGACGAACCUGCAAGAGAAGCCAGCGUUUUACAAAUAUUUUCUAACACGAUGGCUUUACUUCGUCGGUAUAGGGUUAAUGCAGCUUUAACUAUUCAAUUUUUCAGUCAUUUGUUUCAUACAAUAAAUGCAACGGCUUUCAAUAUACUUAUAUCAAAUAAUAAUCUUUGCGUACGAUGGUUCGGACGUCGACUUAAAGCUCGAUUAAAUGCAAUUGAAACUUGGGCCGAACGACAAGGCUUGGAGCUUGCUAGUCAAUGUCAUCUUGCUACAAUAAUGCAAGCAACUCAUUUAUUGCAAGCACCUAAGUAUAAUACUGAAGAGCUAGCGGCUCUUAGUUCAACUUGUUUGAAACUCAAUUCCUUACAAGUUCGAGCUCUAUUGCAAAAAUACCAACCUACAGCGGAUGAACCACGCUUAACCACAGAAUUAAUAGAAAAUGUGGUAAAAAUCAUUGAAAAUGUUACUGAUACUCUUAUUAGAGCUGAUGGAAGAGAAAUACGUCUUGAAGAGGAACCAACUUUAGCUCUAGCAGUUUUAUUACCUGAAGAUGGUUAUAGCUGUGAAAUUAUUAAAGGCAUGCCACAAGGACUUGAGAAAUUCCUUGCCCCACUUCAGCGUGAUGGUAUUUGUAAAAUAGCUCCUCAACCAACAAGCAGUGGAUAUUGGACAGUAUACAUGAUUGACCAUCAUAAUAACUUCCGUAGUUCAAGCGCUAUGAGUAAUCGAUCUGGUGGCUAUAACAACCAUGUUUCUUCAAGCUAUGGUCAGCCAGAAAUUCAAAUCAUUCAGUUACAGAAGUCCACAAAUGGAAUGGGUCUCAGUAUUGUUGCCGCAAAGGGAGCUGGUCAAGAGCGAUUAGGAAUAUAUAUCAAAAGCGUAGUUUCAGGCGGAGCCGCUGAUAUUGAUGGUCGUUUAACAGCUGGGGAUCAAUUACUUAAAGUUGAUGGACAAAGUUUAGUUGGAAUAACUCAAGAAAAAGCAGCAGAAUAUCUGGUACGAACAGGACCUACAGUAACACUAGAAGUUGCUAAACAAGGUGCUAUUUAUCAUGGUUUAGCUACUCUCUUAUCACAACCAUCACCGUCAAUGAGCAGAGCGCUUAAGGUACGACCAAAAUCAGAAUAUGCAGACGCACCUCAAGUAUUUGAUGAAGUACAACCAUCAACUUCACGUUCAAUGGGAAAUUUGAUAUCAGCAAGAAAAGAAAUAACCACUCAGGAGGAUUCAGUUGAUUGGCAUCGUGAGUCGGAAAAUUAUCUAACUGGACCACGACGUAUGAGUGAACGGGAUAUUCCAUCACAAUUUCGCCAUGAAUCUGCUACUUCUCAAAUUCAUAGCAGCAAAUCAGUUCCUGCUCUGCAUAGUGUUGACGCAGAAAAUAAGCAACUGCAAGCCCAACCAUGUCAACACGAAAUGUUCAAUCCAGGAUACAGCAGAACGUCAUCUAGUAAUAGUACAACACCACCAGUUCAACCGCCGCCUAUGCCAUCUAUGAAUGGCGCUUCGUCUCUGAGAUCACGUUCAAGUAACAACCUUCACGAACCAACAAAAAUGACUCAUUUGCCUCUUUCCGGUUUGAUGAAUCGCCAGCGAUCUUCACCGAAUUUGAAUCCAAGUCAAUCAUUUGGAAACACUUUGAACAAUAUUCAGAAUAAUGAAGCUGAAAGAUUUUAUCAAAACUUAAGCGUCUAUAGACAUCAAGAUCCAACAGUAAAACAAUUAGGUCCUUACCAUACAUCAGUUGAUCGAAAUUCAAUGUACACGCCAAAGCAGUUGAAAGGCUCUCAAAAUUCAUUAAAUAAUCCAAUUUUGGAUGUAAACCAAGGAAAAGAUCGGCCGCUUUCAGCAUAUGUUUCUCCAGACCAAAUAAAUUACAAUGCUUAUCAAAUUCCUCAAGCAGGAUCUCUUUUGAAAACACAAUCGUCGAGAGAUAUAAUUCGUCAAGAGGCUAAAUUACAAGAAAUGAAAGAAGAAGUGCGACGCCGUGAGUUAAGGGCAGGUGCAAUAUUAAGUAGUCAACAUCAAACCAAUUCUCUCAAUAUGCGACCUACUACUUCUCAAACCAAUAUUGGUAUUUAUAAGCAAACAAGUUUAGUACCAAAUCUCGAUUUGAAUUCUCCAACUUACAAUACAAAACAAAUAAGUUCAAAUUAUGGGUCAUCUGAUCCUCAACACAACCAAUAUAUUUUAUACAACAAACAACUGAUUUCGAACCAAUAUACUUCCAUUUCGAAAAAGAAUGACGCAUCUUGUUCUAACCAACAAAUUACUGAAUUAGACAAAGAAUAUGAUGCAGAUCUCAGUCGACCAAUUACAGAAUAUAAUCAACAAUUAGGACUUUUUAAUAAGCCUCAGUUUUUAAAUAAUUCAUCUAAUGUGAAUCAUCAACGUAAUAUUAAUGAAAAUCCAUCUAAUCAAAUGCAUUACGAAAAUAAUAUCAAUAAAGAAUCCUUACCUCUACAUUCAAUUCUUGAAAAAGAAUAUAAAGAAAGACAUCCUCCUCCUCCACUUAAUACUUCAACUCAUCCAUUUAAUAUGAAACAAAUCGAUUCCAGGUAUACUUCUGGUGGACAAGAAGUCCCAAAAGGAAGUUACUAUUCAACAACCAAUUCAAGUCAACAAAAUCGACAGCAUCAAUACAAUGCCACUAAUCCAUGGCAACGGGAAGAACGAGAAAAAGAACAAGCACGACGACGAGAAGCUGCAAAAUUAUGGCGAGAUCAACAAAUUGCUGAAUUGAAUUCACUUUCGCACAGAACACAACAACAAGAAGAACAACUUCGAGCUCUCCAAUUAGAAAGAGACUUUCAAAAAAGAGCUGAAGAAGCUGCAGCUCAACAAGAUGAAGAUGAAGAAAGUAAUGAUCUUGAUAAUCAAAAUAUACCAUGUGUCCAAGGAUUGUUAAAAAUGGCAGCAACUCCAGAGAAAAAUUACCCGUCAAUUCAGCCAAAUACUUUAUCACGAACAAAUCUAGCUAAUCAAUCAAUUAGGGGAACGAAUUCAUCUCAGUCAGCGAGUCAUCAAUUGAAACUACCUUUUAAUUCCUUACCUAUCGUAACAUCUCAACAAGAUCUAAUGAAAUAUGGAAAUGUAAGUUUACAUGAUAGUUCGAAUAUAAAUUUACAACAUAUUUCAAACAUAAACGAUUUUAAACAAGUUUCUACAUCUUCAACAUAUAAUUCACCACCAGUUUUUGGACAGCUGUCAAAUAAUAUGAAAAUGAAUACUCAACUUCAGAUGCAUGAAGAACAAGAAAGAAAUCAACGAAUGGAUGAAUACAAAGACGAAGAAAUUGAUUAUGACGGUAAUCAUCGAAAGAAUGAAGAAGAUACAAAACACAGUCAACAACAAUAUCAAAAAAAUCAAACAAAUCCAAAAAAUCAACAACAGUUGUAUACAGAAAUGUUAAAAUUGGAUAAUUUAUAUAUUAAUGAUGGAAACGAAGCACCAGUACCACCAGAACGGGGUUCCAGUUAUACUGUUAUGUCUCAACAAAAUGUUUUAAGAUCAUCUAAUGCUGCUACAAUUUCAUCGUCAAUCGGAUCUCACCAAGCUUCCAUUAAAAGAGUCUCUUUCCAUGACUCUAAUGCUAAUAUUGAAAACUUUUCAAAAAAUAGCAUCAUCUCAAAUUUAUCGUCGCCUUACAGCAUGGGCACUAUAAAAGAGGAUUCUAAUGCGUUGUCAACUCUAGAUCAACAGAGUAGAAAGCUAGGGCAUCGACGGUUCCGAAUAAGUGGCUUAAAAGCCUGGCAUCGAUGAUUUCACGUUGAAGAUAUUGGAAAAAAUUGAAUGAUUAAAACUAUAGAUAUACAGCUUUGUAAAGAUUGAUUAACUAACCAGCUUGGCUGACUGGUCAAUUGGUCUUUGGAUAGACGGUAUCGAUAAAAUUGGAUGAUCAAGACUGACACAGCACUUUCUCAUUGUUUCAAUGUAGCAUUGUUAUUGUCGUCAACUACGUAACCUCUUAAGAAUAUUUACAAGAUAGUGAAGUAAGAAUUUCAUAUAUGAUACGAAGGGUCUAUUGGCAUCUCCACAAACACCAGAUGGUUCUGUCAAUCAAUUUGGUGGAGGUA